GCGUUCUACUUAAAAGUUAUGGCGGUCAAGGAUUUUAUUCGGAGGCACACCGGGAGCCAUUGCAAGGAUAGUAAUGCUGCUGUUUGGACACAAAUGGAGGAGCAUGAGCCACAAAACCGAGACAGACCAGCCGACUGUCAACAUAACCGAAUCCUGCUGGUGAAAGAAAAGGCUGACAUGACAGAUGAUGUAGGAAUUGGCAAGCAGCUGGCACAGUGCAGACAGACCGAGCUCCAGCGUCUCGCAGAACUCGGAUAAAAUAUUCUUGGCUUAAAUAAAUGAAAAGGUUAACAUUGAGCCUUAAGGCCU